AGCGGCCUCCCAGAAGAACUUCCCCACGCUGACUGCAGCAGACGUGGAGGACUUGAUCGGGCAAGCGCUGAAGUUUGCCCCACACAGACGGCCAGCUAAGAAGGACUAUAAGCCAAACCAUGGAGCUCUAUUUUUUAUUUAUUUUCUUUGUAUUUUUUACAUCCAUCUUGCAGCUUGUAUUUUUUUAUUAAAGCAAUUGUAUUUGUUAAUAUGCUAAUAUAUAAUAAUUCAUUACAUUAUCAUUCCAAUAUGCAUCUUUGCACACUAUAUUUGCACUACAUUUGCACUCUACAUCCCACUCCAUUGCUUUUUUUUCUUAUUUGUAUAGUUUUUGAUUGUUAUAUUAUUUUUUUAGGCCUUUUAUAUUUUUUGUAUUUUGUUAAUUUUAUAUUAAAGUUUUAAAUCCCAUCAAGUUUGCCUGUUGCCUGUUCUUUCAUUCCUGCCAAUAUAUAAUUCAUUCCUGCUCAUGCACAGACAGUUUAAACUAAUAAUAAAAUUGGUACCACAGUCGUUAGUUAUUUAAAGGUUAUGGGAAUGUAAAAAAUAACGUUAGGGGAACGUUCUCUAAAGGGUCGAUGUAACCAAAAACUAACAUUCCCUAAACGUCAGGAAAACUUUCCAUGGGAACCAAAAACUAACCAAAAAACUAACCUUCAGGGAACGUUCCCGCAACCAAAAACGAACGUUCCCAGAACGUUCUGGGAACCAAAAAUUGUUACCUGGGAUGGAAGCACGAGCACCUACUGGAGGACCUCCCGUUAUCGUAGACGACCACCCCGACGAUAGUGGUGAACUCGGUGAACAGGGUAGUGGUGAAGAUAACGUCAUACACCCGUGGCCGUAUUUGCAAGAAAUGUUUCUGU